rnacentral:rRNA from 1 species
GAUGAACGCUGGCGGCGUGCCUAAUACAUGCAAGUCGAGCGAAUGGAUUAAGAGCUUGCUCUUAUGAAGUUAGCGGCGGACGGGUGAGUAACACGUGGGUAACCUGCCCAUAAGACUGGGAUAACUCCGGGAAACCGGGGCUAAUACCGGAUAACAUUUUGAACCGCAUGGUUCGAAAUUGAAAGGCGGCUCAGGCUCUCACUUAUGGAUGGACCCGCGUCGCAUUAGCUAGUUGGUGAGGUAACGGCUCACCAAGGCAACGAUGCGUAGCCGACCUGAGAGGGUGAUAGGCCACACUGGGACUGAGACACGGCCCAGACUCCUACGGGAGGCAGCAGUAGGGAAUCUUCCGCAAUGGACGAAAGUCUGACGGAGCAACGCCACGUGAGUGAUGAAGGCUUUCGGGUCGUAAAACUCUGUUGUUAGGGAAGAACAAGUGCUAGUUGAAUAAGCUGGCACCUUGACGGUACCUAACCAGAAAGCCACGGCUAACUACGUGCCAGCAGCCGCAGUAA